CCAGCAGUGUGAAGAGACAACCCACAAUGUGGGAAAAAAAAAUCACCAUAUUUUCUUAACAUGAGCCUAAAAGAUAAACUCCUCCCCUUAUCACACUUCCUGAACCUCCUGCAUGAGCCCCGGGAGCACAAGCUCCUAACUGCUUUAGAACAACUGAGCUCAACCCCAUAACAUCAUCAGCAUUGUCAUUUUGAUGCCACUUCCAGGCUUGGGCAGUCAUGCUGGUUCCAUUGAGCCCCUUAUAAGUCCACAAUCUCCUCUCCUGCCACGGAGGUAGAGACUCACAGUUGAUUGAAAAGAAGCCCAAUUAGUUACCACCCCCAAAUUCUAGGAAAUUCUAGGAAAACAAAAGAGAAGCCAACCCUGGAACUCACUGCAGCUGCCGUCUCUACCCUGCUGCCCUCUGUUCUUGAGGGUGGACUUAGGUUAUAGCAGUCACCAUUUCCGGGGCCUGACUGUUUGAAACUCUCCCCAGUGUACUUUAACCACAAUCUAACCAGAAAGGAGGGGCCUCUGGGAGUCAGUCUCACUCUUGAGUUUUCUCAUUGGCCCAGUCCUGCUCUGUGGAGGAUAUUUUCCCUUUCAUAAAUCAUUGCCUUUCUUACCAUUUCUGUGUAGCCUGCCCAAUUCUUUUUUCAGGAUACAAAGAGCCUGCAUGUUGAGGGAGACCAAGAUCAACUGUCUGGUAACACUUUCAGUUAAAUUAAGUUGUAGUUCCAAAAGCACCAUGGGUGAAACUAUCAGGAUAGCAAGUGUAAAAUAUUCAGUAAUAAUACAAUUGUACUUUUUUAUGAUCUUUUUAAACUUAGUAUUUCCAUCUAUUCAACUUUUAUGUCCCCCUCUCCAUGCUGUACUCCAAGCCAGAAACUCCCCAGUCAUACACAGCAGGCUGAGGAUUACCUCCCCUGCCCCAUACCCCCUCCUUGUACACACCUGACCCUAACCACACGCAUACAUACAACAUGGGAAAAUUUUAACGUAUUAUCAUGUCUUUAACUGCAAAGAGUAAAAAGCUCUUUUCUUGAGAUCAAGCAAUCACAAAGAAUAAUAUAAGUAAAUUAGCUAUUUUGUGAUGCGUCGAGUUUCUAACACUAAAAUCAUGUGCUGCCCUAAAGUGCUAAUUUAAAUUCCAAUCUUAUAGAGAAAUUUUAACAUCAUCCUUUUGGCAACAUACUUCUAAGAUUUGUAGUCUAUUUACUUUAAUGGUUCUAAAAGAAGUCUCCAUAGGGCCAGGGAUUUAGUUCAGUGGUUCUGCCGCCUUCCUCGCAAGCGGAAGGUCCUGAGUUCCAUCCCCGGUACCAAAAAAAAAAAAAGAAGAUUCUAUAUAUGCUAAAAGAUGAAGUCUUGUUACCAUUAAAAAGGGUCUAAAGAAGUUGUUCAUAAAGUUAUUUUAAGAGCAAACAUGCAUUUUCAUUUUUGUCUACGUAGUAAUUCUUACAGUAUAAUUUCCAAAACAUGCAGCUGAAUGCUUCCACACAGGUGUGCUAUGAAGCUGGAGAGACAUUGUGCUCUAUGCAUUCAAGCAUGUGUUUCGGUGCUGGUCUUUUCACAACAAACACUUCAUAGGCUUCCUGCUGUUUAUUCCGGGAGCAUAUAUUUGGUCUUUUUAUAGUAAAGAAAUUUACAAGGAAACUCUGGAAGCUUAUAAAAUCAACAGGAAAAAGCUAUAAAUUCUUAUAGAGGUGACUGAGUUGGUAAGGAAGUGAUUGCAAAAAUCCUUUAUGACUUAAGCGGAUGAUGAGAUAACAGUGUUACCCUUUUAGUCCUUCUCUUACUAUUUCACUCUCCCCACAACUCUUUUGCAUUUAUGGGAAAAUUUAACUCAGUGUGUUAUAAAUUAGUGUUCCAUCAGGUGGAUCCAGGGCCUAAGGGUCCCUCCAGGGCCUGUCUUUCUCUCCCACAUAGAAAGAGGAGGAGGAAUCAGAGCAGACCAGUGUGAAGAAAAGACUUUAUUGCAGGUAUUUCAAGAAGUGGUACAAACCCAUCCCGGGGAAGAAGUGGGGUGCUCAGACCUGAGACACCACCACAUCUGGGGUGGAGGUCCUGUUUCCUGAGGUAGGGGUCAGUCUCCACCCCUUUGAGCGGCCACACUUGAUGAGUUACUAAACUUGUUGCCAGGGCCCAGAGUAAGUGAGCUGAUAAGGGAAUUUCGAAGGGAAGCUUUUUUGUUUGUUUGUUUCAUUUAAGGAGAAGUAACCUACUUAAAGAGGGUAUUGGGGGAACAGUGCGGCUAUGCAAAACCCAGGCUGCCCGCUCUGCUGUCUGCUGCUUGCAGAGAUGCGAAGGGGCCCAGUCCCUAAUCUAAUUCCACCUGAGAAGUCACUGUUCCUACAAUACCAUACUUUAAACAUCACUCUUGUUUUCAAGAAUAUCAAGGGAAGGGGGAAAGAGUAGGAGGAGAAAAGGGUGUCAAAAAUGAUCAAGAUAGGAUAUACAUAUGUUUGUACGAAUUCCCAAGACAAAUAUAAAUAUUAUGGAUAACAAACAUAUACCAAUAAAAUGGAAAAAAAUGUAGCAGUCUGUAUAUUUAUAGUAAAUACAUGGAUUAAUACUAGUAGCUAAUUCUGGGUAAAAUCUCACCACAGAUAGGCCCUGUCUAUAUCUAUACCCAUUUAAUCUUCCCCACAAACCUAAAUGGUAAGCACUAUUAUCAUCUGGUUGGUAGUUGAAGGAAAUGAACCACAGACACCUCAAAUAACUUCCCCAAGAUAUCAGUGGAUGUCUGGCUGAAGUUCUUAACCUUUACUUUAUACUCACUAACAGCAAAAAUGAGAAGAACCACUUUUCAAGAAUGCAAAUUUUGUUCCAGGAACAUUCAUUAUCUCACUUCACCUUUGUGCUCCUGUGAGUAAAUAAUGUCUCUGUUCUACAGAUGAGGAAACCAAGGCUUCGAGGUACCCAAUAACUGGCUUAAAGUUACUGUCAAAACACAGGGCCCUCAUACAUGCUUCUACGGCAGUCUUAAUCCAUGCUUCAUUCUCCAAGAUUUGCCUCAUACUUCUGCCACGCUUAUGCCAACACAUCAACUGCGCUUUAUGGAGCUUCCAGCUCACUAUAUCACGUGUUGAAUGCUAGUAAAUAAUGGAGCUGAAACUCUGGAAUUGCAAAGAGGAUAUAAAUUGUGAUCCUACUAUUUCUAGUCAGAAAAGUUUAAAACUGGCAUCUGUGGCCCUCACUUCUCUGCCAGACUCCAUGUCCCGAAGGCUGACCUUGCAGAGUGCACCACCUGGGCUACCUGUUCAGUUCAACCAACAAGAAUUGUCCUCUUCCACUGCCUCAAUGCUAAGGAUCCAACUGUGGCUUCUCCUUUUAUAACAACUCCUGAUAGACUCUUACCAUAACACCAGCUCUCCCUAAGAUCCAAAAACAUGAUUGCCUCCCCUGUUCCUUUAGGCCUAACAGUAAUAUCAUCUUCUUCUUACAGCCAUACGUGGGUGCCGUAGGAUCCCUUGCUGAUGUGAUCCAUUCAUAGUUCUAUAUAAGGUGCCUUCAUUCAAUUCUCAUCAGAGCCUAAUGUGACUGUGCAUUUUCAUCUUGCCAGGCCCCUGAGUGAUAUAACAAAUACUUAUAACAGACGGAAAUGGUGGAGGACAAGGGACCCCACUUCAGAGCCCCUACCAUAGGCCAAGCAGACAGCCAAGUAAUUUUAUGGUUGAUAAUAAAUGUCAAUCACUCUGAAGAAAGGGGUGUGAGGCAGGGUAAGACAAAGCGGGUGUCACAGGAAUUUGAGACAUAGGUUUCAGAUCCUUGCCAUUAGGUACUCCUAUUUCCCCAACUCAGAAUUUGAUAAAAGAAGGAGAAUCAGAACUAAUCCAUUCAGUUAGCCUGAAUAACAGAAAUGCUAGAGUGUAAAAUGUAGAUGUAAAAUAUUCUUCCAAGUUUGAAUGCAAUUUAAAUAGAAAGAGUGAAGGAAAGAGCAAGUAUUUAACUUUUUUUUUGUACCAUUCUAUGUACCUUAGUGUAGCACAGAGGUGAGCAGACAUAAACAUGAUUAAUGAAGUGACUAAUGUCCUCACUUAAAUCUCUGGAAUGGUUUACAAUUUUAAAAGGGUAUACCAUCAAAAGGAUGUGUUCCCCCCCUUCACACACACACACACACACACACACACACACACACACACGUUUAAGCAUGACUUAAAUAAUAGAAAAAAUAGUAACCAGUGGCAAGUGUCUAGCACAGGAAUGAUGACGGGUCCUGAGUGCUGUGGAUUGGAUCGGGAAUGUGCUCUAAAGGCCCAUAUUCACAGCCUCGGUCUAUAGCGUGGUCCUAUUGAGAGGUUGGGGCAACACUAAGGGGUGAGGCCUCAUGGGACGUUUUAGGUCACUGAGGCUGCACUUGAUGGGGAUUGUGGACCCUGGAAUCUUUUUCUUUUUCUUUUGGUUCCCAGCCAUGAGCAAAUAGCUUUGCUCCUCCUCCCUGCUCUCCUACCAGGAUGUGCUGCUCUGCCACAGGUCCAAAAGUAAUGAGGCCAACCAACUAUGGACUGAAGCUUCCUAAACUGUGAGCCAAACAAAACCUUUCUUGUGAUAAAUUGAUCAUCUCAGAUAUUUGUUUUAGUAAUGGAUAUCUAAGAUAGAAAAUUCUGGGUUAGGCCUUAGCAACCACCACAGUUAGAUGAUUCAAAGGUUAUCUUAUUAAAAUAUUCUAAGUAUCAGUUCUGUCAGGAAAAAAUAACUGCGAUCUUUUUUAUCAAUAUUUUUUCUUUUUUUGCAAGUUUUUUUAAAAAGUAGAACAGAAAAGGUACUUUAGAUCCUUUGUGCACAACCUAUAACCAAACAAAAUAACCACAGCCUAGGGGAGAAUGUAAAAUGUAAAGGACUCAUAAAGUACAAUGUUUUGCAUUUCUCUUUUUUGUUUUCAUCCUGCUUUGAUUUUCAACAUGUGUAAAUCAUUCUGUUACCAUAAACUUAAUGAAGUAAAAGAGCAAAGAUCAAAAAUGUAAUAAUAAAGUAAAGUUUUAAUGACUUACAUUUUUGGCCUGAUCAGGUUGAUUAUAUUUGAUAUACAGUCCAAGGGUUUGUAUUUUAGAUGAAACUUUUCUGAAGACUGUUCAUGUGUUCCAGAUGUGACCUAGUUUUUUUCUGGGAAAUGAAUACUAAGCAUGGCACAGGCACGUCUAACAGACAUGGCUAUUUCAAGAGUUUGUAAUGUUGUACAAGUAUAGCAACAAAAUAUGUAAAUCCAGCUGCCUAAUGAAAAUCUUUAUUGAUCCUGUACUAUGUGCUAAGUGAUAUUCUAGGCUCCAGAAAUGCAAAUAUAGAAGACAAAUCUUCAUCUACAGGAGCUCAUGAACUAGAGCUUAAAAGAAAAACAAACAUAAAACCUGUCAGAAUGAACAAGAAAACAACUGUGAAAAAUAAAAUCAAAGUAUAGUAUGAGCAGUAACAGAAGCCAGAGACAGGUAGAAAAAUAUUGCAUAAAAUAUACUAAUUUGUUCUGUUUAAAAAUGAUUCAGGUAAGGUUUCCCAGAGUGGAUAAAAUCAGAGCAAAUUCAAAAGUUUAAAGUACAGCUUGACAUCCUCUUCAAUUAAAUCACAACCUAUUUUUGGACAAACGUCCACUUGGAUCAGUGAAAAACAGAGAAGAUGUCUGACAGAAUGCUAGACAUAAAGUGAGAAUACUUCAUCUCCCUUCUUGUAUAUUUUUAGAAUAAAUGUAUGUCUUAGUUACUGCUGUAGUCACUGGGACAAAAUACUUGACAUCCACAACGUAUCAGAGGACAGGUUUAUUUUAGCUCAUGUUUACAGUCCAUAGUCAGCUGGCUCCAAGUUAGGAUGCCAUGGAAGACGGGCAUGGUGGGGGACGGAUGCUCAUGGCAUGAUUGACAGCAGAGGGAGUAAAGGGAGGAGCAGGGAGCCCCUUCAUGCCCCACCCACAGUGACCUGUCUCUUUCAACCAGACCUUGCCUCCUAAAAGCAAGUCAGCUAUCAGAGGCCAUAAUCAAAUCACCUCCUAAAAGCUCCACCAAUGAGCACACGAGGCUCCUGUGGGACAUCUAGAUAUAAACUGUAACAUUCUGCUCUGUCCUCCACAAGACUCAUGCACAUCUCUUUAUGCAAAAUCCAUUUAGUCCAUGUCUAAGAGUUGCCAAAGUCUUAACAAUUUCAGAAUUGCUGAAAAAGUCCAAAUUUGAAGUCUCUACCAAGACUUAAGGCAAACUCUUAAUUGUAAGCCCUUAUAAAAACAAAAAGUUAAACACUGCUAAUAUAUAAUGGCACAGGGCAAACACUCCCAUUCCAAAAGAGAGGACUAGGGGAAUAGAAACCACUGGGAUCAAAGCUCAACUGAAACUCGGCCGGAAAACACUAAAUCAUACAGUCCAUGUCUAGCUUAAGCUCCACAUGCCUUGGCCAGCUCUGCCCCUACAGCAUUGCCAGUGGUUUUAGCCCUCACAACCUCAGUCUUUAGAUGAUGGCUCUACUCACUUCCUGUGACCUUCCUCAACUGAUGUUCCAUGUUCUUGGCAUCUCCAGCUUCUUAAGGUCUUCACAACACUUUUGGCUUCUCUCUCACAGCUUAAAGCACUGCCAUCUUAGGCACACUGCUUGGCUUCCCAGGCCUACUUUUGAAAUUUGGGUGGAAGCCUCUCUUAACUCACAACUCUUGAAUGCUGUACGAUUCUGUAUGUCUAUAAAACCAGUGACAUAGACAUUGACAAGGUCUGAUGCCAGGUCAAGUAGUAGCCAGGCCAUUUUACAUCAUGGCUGUAGUGGUCUCCAAGAGCCUGGAUGGCUGAGCACUGUGGAAUCCUGAGGAACCAAUUCCUUAGGUGACCCUUUCCAAGCAUGGUGCCCCAGGGCUCUCUUCUCAAAUGAAAACUUCAUAGCCUUGCAUCCUCAAACAUGCAAUGAAUGGGGUCUUACUAAUUCCUUACAUGCUCUCAAGCCAUUGUUUUUAUUUUGUUGCUGUUUCUAUUAUACUUGGCUUCUUUUUAAAGCUAAACUUUACAGCAACACAGGCUUUCCUCACUUGAUCUUUGCAGAUGUUCCCUUUCUGGCAAAACUAAUUCAAAUGGGCUUUUUGUGCCUGAUUUUCAAUAUAAACCUGGCUGAAAUCAGCAAGAAGUACCCAUGAUACAAUCUGAAUUUUGGCCUGAUAUAUAUAUGCAGAAACACAUUAACAAAAUAGGAAAGACAUACACGUGACAAUAACAAUACUUAUUUGUGCAAGAGGUCAUGAAGUUGUAGCUGGAAUUUAUAACCAUUCAUCUACUACCCAUUCUGCAUUCCCUAGGCCUUCAGCAAGCACUUCAGCAGGUCUUGGUUCUUUACCUAGCAGGGCGAUUUAUAUCUUCAUUCUUGAAGAUUCUGGGCCAUAUGUCAACCUGCCUGGACUGAGUUGUGAUUUCUCAUUGACCUUAACCAUACUAGGAGGCACCGUAAGGAUCUUGGGCACUCCAAAUAUAUUCUUCCUUUUCUCCAUUGUGGAGUCCAAUUUCCCCUUGGUAGUCUGGAUCCAUUACCCCUACCAACAUCAUGACUCCCUUUUUAGCUUAUUUACUCAGAGACACAGGAGCCCAAAAUGACAAUGGAGAAGUCUGGGCUACCAAGUCACUGGAAUCAUUGUUGCGCUACCUGAUACAAGCCUUCCACCCUCUGGAAGUAAGAUGUCUAGGCUAGCAGGGCAUAAAGUCAUAGGAACAGGAAGCAAAAAUUUUACUGGUGAGUCAUUAAGGGUAAUGGAUAUAUAUUUUGUAUUAAAUCUGUUCAUCUAGUGAACCCUAACUGAUACAAGGUAAAAUACACAAUGUAAUUGUGUAUUUUUAAGAGUACAAUUCAGUGGUGUUUAGUACAUUCACAAUGGUUUCAGCCUUUACCAAUGUCUAAUCUUAGAGCAUCUUCACCACCUCAAAAAGUCACCCUGUGUGCAUUAAGCAAUAACUGGCCUUUCCCAUUUUCCCUCAGUGCAUGGAAACCAUUAAUCUAUUUUCUGUCUCUUAUGCCUAUUCUUCACAUUUCAUAUAAAUACAACUGUAUAAUAUGUAGCCUUUUUACAUUUGUAUCCUUUCUCUUAACAUAAUGUUUGUAAGGCUCAUGGAUGUUGUAAUAUGAAUCAAUACUUCAGUACUUUUUAUGGCUAAAAUAUACAUAUAUAUGUAUACAUCUAUAUAUAUCACAUUUUGAUUAGCUAUCAUCUUUUAAUAUAGAUACUGGAUUGUUUCCACAUUUUGGCCUUUGUGAAUAGUGAUGCUAUGAAUAUUCAUGUACAAAUUUUUAUAUUAAUAUGAUUUCAGUUCUCUUGAGUAUAUAAUUAUGAGUGGAACUGCAGGGUCAUAUGACAAUUCUAUGUUUAAAUGUUCUGAGGAGCCAUGAAGCUGUUUUUCUACUGUGGCUGUACCAUUUCAUAUUCCCACCAUCAAUGUAUGAAGUUUCCAGUUUUUUAAACCUUACCAAUGCUUAUUUUCCAUUUUUUGGUUAUUGUAGUUUUGUGUGGUUGUUUUCUUUUGUUUUAUAGCCACUGUGGUGAGCAGGAAAUGCUAUUCAAUGUAUUUUUUCAUUUGUAUUUCCUUGAUGAUUGAUGAUGUUGACCAUCUUUAUAUAUAUGCUUAUUGGCCUUAAAUAGCUCUUCCUUAGGGAAAUGUCUAUAUAGAGCUAUCUUAAAAUUGUGCUGCUUUUGUUGGUGCUGUUGGGAAACUGUAAAAGUUCUGUACAUACUCUGGAUCUGAUUUCUUCCUUCCAUUUUGAAUGUUGCUUUAUUUUCUUGAGCAGAAGUUUUGGUUUUGAUGAUUAUAACAUCACUUUUCUAUUUUUGUGUGUGUGUAUUCAAGAAAUAGUUGCCUUAUUCGAGGUCAUGAAGAUUGAUACCUAUGUUUACUUCUAAGAAUUGUAUACUUUUAAAACUUAUGUUAAAGUUU